rnacentral:snoRNA from 1 species
CCAAAUGUUCUUGCCCCAUGGUAUUGACUCCUUUUCCACAACGUUGGAAAUGAAGCUGGGCUUCGAGUCUGAGUAUGCCUAUUACAACUUCUCAGAGUCCUGUGGACAAUGAAUGAGAAGACUAAUCAUGCAGGAAACAGUC